rnacentral:rRNA from 1 species
CAGGACGAACGCUGGCGGCGUGCCUAACACAUGCAAGUCGAGCGAGGAGAGUCCUUCGGGAUGAUCCUAGCGGCGGACGGGUGAGUAACACGUGGGCAACCUGCCUCAUAGAGAGGAAUAGCCUUCCGAAAGGGAGAUUAAUACCUCAUAACAUUGCAGUUUCGCAUGGAACAGCAAUUAAAGGAGUAAUCCGCUAUGAGAUGGGCCCGCGGCGCAUUAGCUAGUUGGUGAGGUAACGGCUCACCAAGGCGACGAUGCGUAGCCGACCUGAGAGGGUGAUCGGCCACAUUGGGACUGAGACACGGCCCAGACUCCUACGGGAGGCAGCAGUGGGGAAUAUUGCACAAUGGGGGAAACCCUGAUGCCAGCAACGCCGCGUGAGUGAUGACGGCCUUCGGGUUGUAAAGCUCUGUCUUCAGGGACGAUAAUGACGGUACCUGAGGAGGAAGCCACGGCUAACUACGUGCCAGCCGCCGC